rnacentral:tRNA from 1 species
UAGCUCAGUCAGUUGAGCGUGGCGCUAACAACGCUAAGGUCAUGGGUUUGAUUCCUGU